rnacentral:rRNA from 1 species
AUGGGUUCUAGGUGCUGGUCGUGCGGCGAGGGCUCGGUGUCGCCGGACCCGGGCUCGGGCGCGCUCGUCUGCACCUCCUGCGGCCUCCAACACGACGCCGGCGCCUCCGAGUUCUACAAUCCGACCGCCUUCACCGAGGACGGCCAGGUUGAUUUCCGCGCCGCCUCCCUCGUCCGCCACCUCUCCCAGUCCCCCUACCGCGAGCUCAAGCUUGCCGCCGCCUCCAACGUCAUCACCUCCAUGGCCGUCCAACUCGGCCUCUCGCCCACCCGCGCCGAGGAGAUCCUCAGCAUGGCCAAAUCCGCCACCGCCGGGAACCUCGCCACCGCCGGCACCACCUUCCUCCCGGCCCUCGCCGCCGCCUGCUCCUUCCUCGUCGCGCGAUCUCACCGCCUCCCUCUCUCCCUCGCCGAGGCCGCCGAGGCCGCGUCCUGCACCACGGUCGCGCUCGGUGACCUCGUAUCCCGCAUCGCCUCCCACCUCUCCCUUCCCCCCCUCCCCUCCUUCGACUACCAGGCUGCGCUCGAACGCGCCGUGCUCGGCUCGUACAAGCUCACCACCGCUGCGGGAGAUGAGAAGACGAGAGCGAUUCUCUCCCAAGCCAGAUUUCUCCUCCGCUGCUCCUUCAAGUGGUCGCUCACCACCGGGCGGCACCCACUCCCACUUCUCGCCGGCCUGAUUGCUUUCGCCGCAGAGCUGAACGGGGUCGCUGAGGUUUCUGUGGAAGACAUUGCCCAGGAGAUGUCGGCGGUCGUGCACACCAGCCGUCUCCGAUACAAGGAGCUCGUUAAAGCGCUGGUGCAUGUCGCGCAGAAGUUGCUUCCUUGGGGUGCCGACGUCAAUGCCAGAAACCUGCUCCUGAACGCCCCAAUGCUGCUCUGGCUCAUGGAGAUGCGGUCACAGUCCGACCCCUCGGAACUGUUUCUUGAGAGCUUUGCUCCGGACAUCGCCGGCAUUGUGCAGGUGUACUCAUCUGUUGAUGAGGACGAGUCCAAGUACCUCCAGAUUGUUCCCCUGGAUGUUGAUGCUUUGGAUUUCAAGAAUUCUGGGAAAGAGGGCAAGGAAUCAGGGGAUUUGAAGAUCUCAGAGGAUUGCUUGUCAGAUGCUUACCAGAAUGUCUUAAAGAGGCUCUCUAAGCUAAAGGAACUUGGGAAGGUUGGGAAAGUUGCUAGCAGGAGGAAGCAGCGGAGGAUAGGGCUGGAGCUGGAACCAUGGAUGGAUUCGCUGGAUGAUCAUCGGACCAAGCGCAUGCCGCUUGAGGAGGUAGCAGAUAUUGACAUUGGCUAUGAUGCACCUCCUCCGUCGAAGGCUCCUGCUGCAGGCACUGCAAAUGCAAUUGAUUCACUGGCUGUUCAUGGAAAUGAAGAUGCUUGUCCACCACAAAAAAAUAGCAGGAAGAAGCUGGGUCGAAAGAGACGAGAUGGCAAGGAUCAUCAUAUCAUGUAUGGAGAUCAUCCAGCGGAGAUGUCAGACGCUCCUGACUCUGAGAAGAAGAAACGUAAAAGAGACCCGUGUGAUGGUAUUGACUGGGAAGAUUGCGUUAUCGAACUCCUUUUAUUACAUGGUGCAAAUGAGGCAGAGAUUGAACAAGGCCAAUACAGAAGACUGUUGGAGUUGCAUGUCUUCAGUGCAAUAAGUGGAGACAGAUAA